UAAUCUAAUACACAAAGCAAAGUAAAAUUAGGAAAGACAAAUAUAGAGAACACGGUAAAAGGGGAAAGUGACUGGGAGUAGCUCUUCUUCCUCUUUCUUGCUAUAACCAUUGUUGUUCAUGAAUCUGGAAAAAUCUUAAGGGACCAACUUCCAUUAACGAAAGAUCGAGAAGCUGAGGUACAUCUAGCUUGGAUAGAUUACAUCUUAGACGCUCCAAAUUGUCACAAACGUCAUGUAAUCUUGUCCGAUGAAGACGUCUUCAACAUGAUGUAGCUCAAGUCUGAUGCUUUCAUUUGAAGAUUGAGCUCACAAGGAGCUAAUACCACUGUCUAAAGAGCUCCGAUUUAGGCCCAUGUUCUUCAGAUGAGGUGUUGAAAGUGCUCUCUGUUGAUUUCCAUGUGCCUUAUUGGCUUGCUCACAAUAUGCAAGGGCUAACAAUUCUUCUUGUUCAGAUAUAUGGGUCCCAUCAACACAUUCAAUCUGUAAAGGUCUGGGAAAUAUGUCUCCCUGACUGAUUGGCAUAUGCUACAAUAUUCAUGUUUUCAUCUUCCAGCUUAUCUUUAUCCAUUAAUAUACAGGUGAAAAAGUGAACAGAGCAACGAGCGGUUGGUGUUGUGAACGACCUUCACCAACAAGUGUGUCAGAGCAUCUAUUUUUCAGUUUUGUCGGACUUUGUUUGAUUAACUUCCAUUAUAGGAAUCCAAUGAAGAAAUUAUCCGAGAAAUUUCAAAUAUAUAUAUUUCAGUUAGAAUAGUGUGUGACUGUAUUUGUGGUAAGGUAAUUGAACUGCAAUGAAAAAAUUUAAGUGUUCACUGCUCAAUACUCUAUGUGUAAUUGAAAUUGUGUCAAGAUGUGUGUGUCUGUCAAGAAUAUAGAUGUUAUUGACGUGUGUAUACAAAUGCGACUUGUGUUGUGUGUUUAAGA